CAGGUAGCUCCCUUCUCUCCUCUUGACCUUGUUGGGCAGCAAUGAGUCUCUCCAACAUCUCAAAUAUCUUGUCAACGUCUUCCCGAAGCGAACUAUCUAGGGCUGCUCAGUUUAGUGGAGGUCUUCCUCUUCUCAUCUCUUUGUACCUGCAUUUCACAAUGAAGGGUUGAGUAAUAAUUCAUUGCUUUGGUGUUUCUCUAAGUAUUAUUGUGUAAGGGAAGAGUCCAAGGAACGCGGCU
rnacentral:lncRNA from 1 species